GACGAAUGCUGGCGGCGCGCCUAACACAUGCAAGUCGAACGGAGCUGAGAGAAGCUUGCUUUUCUUAGCUUAGUGGCGAACGGGUGAGUAACGCGUGAGUAACCUGCCCUGGAGUGGGGGACAACAGUUGGAAACGACUGCUAAUACCGCAUAAGCCCACGAUCCGGCAUCGGAUUGAGGGAAAAGGAUUUAUUCGCUUCAGGAUGGACUCGCGUCCAAUUAGCUAGUUGGUGAGGUAACGGCCCACCAAGGCGACGAUUGGUAGCCGGACUGAGAGGUUGAACGGCCACAUUGGGACUGAGACACGGCCCAGACUCCUACGGGAAGCAGCAGUGGGGGAUAUUGCACAAUGGGGGAAACCCUGAUGCAGCGACGCCGCGUGGAGGAAGAAGGUUUUCGGAUUGUAAACUCCUGUCGUUAGGGACGAUAAUGACGGUACCUAACAAGAAAGCACCGGCUAACUACGUG
rnacentral:rRNA from 1 species